rnacentral:rRNA from 1 species
GACGUAGGUCGCAAGCGUUACUCGGAUUCACUAGGCGUAAAGCGCGUGUAGGUGGAUGCUUAAGUCCAUUGUUAAAUUUCCCGGCUCAACCGGGAACGGUCAACGGAUACUGGGCGUCUGGAGUUAUGCAGAGGAAGCUGGAAUUCCCGGUGUAGCGGUGAAAUGCGUAGAUAUCGGGAAGAACACCAGUGGCGAAGGCGGGCUUCUGGGCAUCAACUGACACUGAGACGCGAAAGCUAGGGGAG